CAAAGAGCAGAGGGGGAGACAUAGCAUUAAUGUUAAAGGUUGACCCCACUUUACUGAGGUCCUGCUGGGAGGAAGGCAGGGGGAGGAGGAAGCUUCAAGACAUGAGGAUAUUGUUUGGAAAAUGAAGAAUAAUCGAGCGAGCUUGGAUGCGGAAGAAAGAUGUCGGAAGCCUCCUAGUGGGCCAAAUGUCCAGAAUGUUUACAAGACGAGUCUUACUGUGGAGGUCUGCUGCAGCCUCAAGAGGACACUUACAGGCCAACACAUUAGGGGCGCUGGAAGCCGGCAGACCCGUCAGCGAUCCUGUUCUGUCUCCCUGUAAUGUUUGUCUGAUCUUGAAUGGGAUUGUGCUGAAAAUUUCAAUUUUCCUGAAGGAACUCUCCUGACGGAAUAAAUAAAGUACUAUCU